AUACAAAGCAUACACGGACCUCAUUAAAAUGCAGAAUCUGAUUCAGUAGGUCUGAGAGUCUGUAUUUUUGACAAUCUCCCAGGUGAUGCUGAG
rnacentral:miRNA from 1 species